rnacentral:rRNA from 1 species
AGAGUUUGAUCCUGGCUCAGACUGAACGCUGGCGGCAUGGCUAAAGCAUGCAAGUCGAACGAGCCCGCAAGGGCAAGUGGCGGACGGGUUAGUAAUACGAUCGAACGUACCCCGAAGUGGGGGAUAGCGGCGGGAAACUGCCGGUAAUACCCCAUGUGCUCUUCGGAGGGAAGAUUUAUCGCUUUGGGAUCGGCGAUCGUCCUAUCAGCUAGUUGGCGGGGUAAAGGCCCACCAAGGCGAAGACGGGUAGCAGGUGUGAGAGCACGACCUGCAACAUCGGAACUGAGAUACUGUCCGGACUCCUACGGGAGGCUGCAGCAACGAAUCUUCCGCAAUGGGCGCAAGCCUGACGGAGCAAUGCCGCGUGUGGGAUGAAGUGCCUCCGGCAUGUAAACCACUGUCAGAAGAUAGAAACACUGAUCAUCUUCAAAGGAAGUGGCGACUAACUCUGUGCCAGCAGUCGCGGUAAUACAGAGGCCACGAGCGUUAGUCGGAAUUACUGGGCUUAAAGGGUGCGUAGGCGGUUAUUCAAGCGUCCUGUGAAAGCCUCCCGCUCAACGGGAGAACAGCAGGGCGAACUGGGUGACUCGAGGUUGGUAGGGGCUCACAGAACAGUCGGUGGACCGGUGAAAUGGGUAGAGAUCGACUGGAAUGCCGAUGGCGAAGGCGGUGAGCUGGGCCAAACCUGACGCUGAGGCACGAAAGCGUGGGGAGCAAACAGGAUUAGAUACCCCGGUAGUCC